GACGAACGCUAGCGGCGUGCUUAACACAUGCAAGUCGAACGGAAAGGCCCUGCUUUUGUGGGGUGCUCGAGUGGCGAACGGGUGAGUAACACGUGAGUAACCUGCCCUUGACUUUGGGAUAACUUCAGGAAACUGGGGCUAAUACCGGAUAGGAGCUCCUGCUGCAUGGUGGGGGUUGGAAAGUUUCGGCGGUUGGGGAUGGACUCGCGGCUCAUCAGCUUGUUGGUGGGGUAGUGGCUUACCAAGGCUUUGACGGGUAGCCGGCCUGAGAGGGUGACCGGCCACAUUGGGACUGAGAUACGGCCCAGACUCCUACGGGAGGCAGCAGUGGGGAAUAUUGCACAAUGGGCGGAAGCCUGAUGCAGCAACGCCGCGUGCGGGAUGACGGCCUUCGGGUUGUAAACCGCUUUCGCCUGUGACGAAGCGUGAGUGACGGUAAUGGGUAAAGAAGCACCGGCUAACUACGUG
rnacentral:rRNA from 1 species